rnacentral:lncRNA from 1 species
CUAAUCAAAUAUAUGUUGUACAUUGCACUAUUGUAGUAACGAAAUCAGUAUACAGAGAGACUUCCUAGACGAAUGACCAUUUAACCACAGUAAAUAUCCUAUUGGCCCCAGUGGAGUGGACCCCACUGGUCUAGUAGCCACGGGAGCCAAUUCAACAUCAGGGAUAAAGCAUACAAUCUGAUUCUCUCGGGUCUCAACGAAACAAAACAGUCAAAAAGAAGGAAAUCAGUUCGCAGCCUCCACACCAAGGGUUUACUAUCUGCAACUCUCACAUUAAUAACAAAUAUUCUUCGGCAUCUGGUGGUUG